GUUGUCCGGAAUUACUGGGCGUAAAGAGCUCGUAGGUGGUUUGUCGCGUUGUUCGUGAAAACUCACAGCUCAACUGUGGGCGUGCGGGCGAUACGGGCAGACUGGAGUACUGCAGGGGAGACUGGAAUUCCUGGUGUAGCGGUGGAAUGCGCAGAUAUCAGGAGGAACACCGGUGGCGAAGGCGGGUCUCUGGGCAGUAACUGACGCUGAGGAGCGAAAGCGUGGGGAGCGAACAGG
rnacentral:rRNA from 1 species